rnacentral:tRNA from 1 species
GCGCGAGUGCUGGAAUCGGUGAGACAGGCUGGUUUUAGGUACCAGUGCCCUAGCGGCGUGAGGGUUCGAGUCCCUCCUCGCGCACCC